rnacentral:rRNA from 1 species
GGUUAAGCGACUAAGCGUACACGGUGGAUGCCCUGGCAGUCAGAGGCGAUGAAGGACGUGCUAAUCUGCGAUAAGCGUCGGUAAGGUGAUAUGAACCGUUAUAACCGGCGAUUUCCGAAUGGGGAAACCCAGUGUGAUUCGUCACACUAUCAUUAACUGAAUCCAUAGGUUAAUGAGGCGAACCGGGGGAACUGAAACAUCUAAGUACCCCGAGGAAAAGAAAUCAACCGAGAUUCCCCCAGUAGCGGCGAGCGAACGGGGAGCAGCCCAGAGCCUGAAUCAGUGUGUGUGUUAGUGGAAGCGUCUGGAAAGGCGCGCGAUACAGGGUGACAGCCCCGUACACAAAAAUGCACAUACUGUGAGCUCGAUGAGUAGGGCGGGACACGUGGUAUCCUGUCUGAAUAUGGGGGGACCAUCCUCCAAGGCUAAAUACUCCUGACUGACCGAUAGUGAACCAGUACCGUGAGGGAAAGGCGAAAAGAACCCCGGCGAGGGGAGUGAAAAAGAACCUGAAACCGUGUACGUACAAGCAGUGGGAGCACAGAGCAAUCUGUGUGACUGCGUACCUUUUGUAUAAUGGGUCAGCGACUUAUAUUCUGUAGCAAGGUUAACCGAAUAGGGGAGCCGAAGGGAAACCGAGUCUUAACUGGGCGUUAAGUUGCAGGGUAUAGACCCGAAACCCGGUGAUCUAGCCAUGGGCAGGUUGAAGGUUGGGUAACACUAACUGGAGGACCGAACCGACUAAUGUUGAAAAAUUAGCGGAUGACUUGUGGCUGGGGGUGAAAGGCCAAUCAAACCGGGAGAUAGCUGGUUCUCCCCGAAAGCUAUUUAGGUAGCGCCUCGUGAAUUCAUCUCCGGGGGUAGAGCACUGUUUCGGCAAGGGGGUCAUCCCGACUUACCAACCCGAUGCAAACUGCGAAUACCGGAGAAUGUUAUCACGGGAGACACACGGCGGGUGCUAACGUCCGUCGUGAAGAGGGAAACAACCCAGACCGCCAGCUAAGGUCCCAAAGUCAUGGUUAAGUGGGAAACGAUGUGGGAAGGCCCAGACAGCCAGGAUGUUGGCUUAGAAGCAGCCAUCAUUUAAAGAAAGCGUAAUAGCUCACUGGUCGAGUCGGCCUGCGCGGAAGAUGUAACGGGGCUAAACCAUGCACCGAAGCUGCGGCAGCGACGCUUAUGCGUUGUUGGGUAGGGGAGCGUUCUGUAAGCCUGCGAAGGUGUGCUGUGAGGCAUGCUGGAGGUAUCAGAAGUGCGAAUGCUGACAUAAGUAACGAUAAAGCGGGUGAAAAGCCCGCUCGCCGGAAGACCAAGGGUUCCUGUCCAACGUUAAUCGGGGCAGGGUGAGUCGACCCCUAAGGCGAGGCCGAAAGGCGUAGUCGAUGGGAAACAGGUUAAUAUUCCUGUACUUGGUGUUACUGCGAAGGGGGGACGGAGAAGGCUAUGUUGGCCGGGCGACGGUUGUCCCGGUUUAAGCGUGUAGGCUGGUUUUCCAGGCAAAUCCGGAAAAUCAAGGCUGAGGCGUGAUGACGAGGCACUACGGUGCUGAAGCAACAAAUGCCCUGCUUCCAGGAAAAGCCUCUAAGCAUCAGGUAACAUCAAAUCGUACCCCAAACCGACACAGGUGGUCAGGUAGAGAAUACCAAGGCGCUUGAGAGAACUCGGGUGAAGGAACUAGGCAAAAUGGUGCCGUAACUUCGGGAGAAGGCACGCUGAUAUGUAGGUGAAGUCCCUCGCGGAUGGAGCUGAAAUCAGUCGAAGAUACCAGCUGGCUGCAACUGUUUAUUAAAAACACAGCACUGUGCAAACACGAAAGUGGACGUAUACGGUGUGACGCCUGCCCGGUGCCGGAAGGUUAAUUGAUGGGGUUAGCGCAAGCGAAGCUCUUGAUCGAAGCCCCGGUAAACGGCGGCCGUAACUAUAACGGUCCUAAGGUAGCGAAAUUCCUUGUCGGGUAAGUUCCGACCUGCACGAAUGGCGUAAUGAUGGCCAGGCUGUCUCCACCCGAGACUCAGUGAAAUUGAACUCGCUGUGAAGAUGCAGUGUACCCGCGGCAAGACGGAAAGACCCCGUGAACCUUUACUAUAGCUUGACACUGAACAUUGAGCCUUGAUGUGUAGGAUAGGUGGGAGGCUUUGAAGUGUGGACGCCAGUCUGCAUGGAGCCGACCUUGAAAUACCACCCUUUAAUGUUUGAUGUUCUAACGUUGACCCGUAAUCCGGGUUGCGGACAGUGUCUGGUGGGUAGUUUGACUGGGGCGGUCUCCUCCUAAAGAGUAACGGAGGAGCACGAAGGUUGGCUAAUCCUGGUCGGACAUCAGGAGGUUAGUGCAAUGGCAUAAGCCAGCUUGACUGCGAGCGUGACGGCGCGAGCAGGUGCGAAAGCAGGUCAUAGUGAUCCGGUGGUUCUGAAUGGAAGGGCCAUCGCUCAACGGAUAAAAGGUACUCCGGGGAUAACAGGCUGAUACCGCCCAAGAGUUCAUAUCGACGGCGGUGUUUGGCACCUCGAUGUCGGCUCAUCACAUCCUGGGGCUGAAGUAGGUCCCAAGGGUAUGGCUGUUCGCCAUUUAAAGUGGUACGCGAGCUGGGUUUAGAACGUCGUGAGACAGUUCGGUCCCUAUCUGCCGUGGGCGCUGGAGAACUGAGGGGGGCUGCUCCUAGUACGAGAGGACCGGAGUGGACGCAUCACUGGUGUUCGGGUUGUCAUGCCAAUGGCACUGCCCGGUAGCUAAAUGCGGAAGAGAUAAGUGCUGAAAGCAUCUAAGCACGAAACUUGCCCCGAGAUGAGUUCUCCCUGACUCCUUGAGAGUCCUGAAGGAACGUUGAAGACGACGACGUUGAUAGGCCGGAUGUGUAAGCGCAGCGAUGCGUUGAGCUAACCGGUACUAAUGAACCGUGAGGCUUAACCUU